rnacentral:rRNA from 1 species
UAGGGAAUCUUCCACAAUGGACGCAAGUCUGAUGGAGCAACGCCGCGUGAGUGAAGAAGGUUUUCGGAUCGUAAAGCUCUGUUGUUGGUGAAGAAGGAUAGAGGUAGUAACUGGCCUUUAUUUGACGGUAAUCAACCAGAAAGUCACGGCUAACUACGUGCCAGCAGCCGCGGUAAUACGUAGGUGGCAAGCGUUGUCCGGAUUUAUUGGGCGUAAAGCGAGCGCAGGCGGAAGAAUAAGUCUGAUGUGAAAGCCCUCGGCUUAACCGAGGAACUGCAUCGGAAACUGUUUUUCUUGAGUGCAGAAGAGGAGGGUGGAACUCCAUGUGUAGCGGUGGAAUGCGUAGAUAUAUGGAAGGACACCAGUGGCGAAAGCGACUCUCUGGUCUGCAACUGACGCUGAGGCUCGAAAGCAUGGGUAGCGAACAGG